AAGAGACAGCAGUAGCCGCGGGAAUACGGAGGGUGCAAGCGUUAAUCGGAAUUACUGGGCGUAAAGCGCACGCAGGCGGUCUGUCAAGUCAGAUGUGAAAUCCCCGGGCUUAACCUGGGAACUGCAUUUGAAACUGGCAGGCUAGAGUCUUGUAGAGGGGGGUAGAAUUCCAGGUGUAGCGGUGAAAUGCGUAGAGAUCUGGAGGAAUACCGGUGGCGAAGGCGGCCCCCUGGACAAAGACUGACGCUCAGGUGCGAAAGCGUGGGGAGCAAACAGGAUUAGAUACCCGUGUAGUCCCUGUCUCUUAUAC
rnacentral:rRNA from 1 species